rnacentral:rRNA from 1 species
GAUGAACGCUGGCGGCGUGCCUAAUGCAUGCAAGUCGAGCGAACGGACGAGAAGCUUGCUUCUCUGAUGUUAGCGGCGGACGGGUGAGUAACACGUGGAUAACCUACCUAUAAGACUGGGAUAACUUCGGGAAACCGGAGCUAAUACCGGAUAAUAUUUUGAACCGCAUGGUUCAAAAGUGAAAGACGGUCUUGCUGUCACUUAUAGAUGGAUCCGCGCUGCAUUAGCUAGUUGGUAAGGUAACGGCUUACCAAGGCAACGAUGCAUAGCCGACCUGAGAGGGUGAUCGGCCACACUGGAACUGAGACACGGUCCAGACUCCUACGGGAGGCAGCAGUAGGGAAUCUUCCGCAAUGGGCGAAAGCCUGACGGAGCAACGCCGCGUGAGUGAUGAAGGUCUUCGGAUCGUAGAACUCUGUUAUUAGGGAAGAACAUAUGUGUAAGUAACUGUGCACAUCUUGACGGUACCUAAUCAGAAAGCCACGGCUAACUACGUG